rnacentral:rRNA from 1 species
UACGUAGGGUGCAAGCGUUGUCCGGAAUUAUUGGGCGUAAAGAGCUCGUAGGCGGUUUGUCGCGUCGGCUGUGAAAACCUGGGGCUCAACCCCGGGCCUGCAGCCGAUACGGGCAAACUGGAAUUCGGUAGGGGAGACUGGAAUUCCUGGUGUAGCGGUGAAAUGCGCAGAUAUCAGGAGGAACACCGGUGGCGAAGGCGGGUCUCUGGGCCGAUAUUGACGCUGAGGAGCGAAAGCGUGGGGAGCAAACAGG